GUAAACAUAGUUUAUAUAAAAACUUUAGACUGUGAAUCUAACAAUAAGAGCUCCACCUCUUUGUUUACC
rnacentral:tRNA from 1 species